rnacentral:pre_miRNA from 1 species
AACAACAUCCUGAUGCUGUCUGAGUAUGUGGUACAGAACUCCAGCAUUAGUGAUUUUGUUGC